rnacentral:rRNA from 1 species
AUGCUUUGGUGCCUUCGGGAACUCUGAGACAGGUGAUGCAUGGCUGUCGUCAGCUCGUGUUGUGAAAUGUUGGGUUAAGUCCCGCAACGAGCGCAACCCUUAUCCUUUGUUGCCAGCGGUUAGGCCGGGAACUCAAAGGAGACUGCCAGUGAUAAACUGGAGGAAGGUGGGGAUGACGUCAAGUCAUCAUGGCCCUUACGAGUAGGGCUACACACGUGCUACAAUGGCGCAUACAAAGAGAAGCGACCUCGCGAGAGCAAGCGGACCUCAUAAAGUGCGUCGUAGUCCGGAUUGGAGUCUGCAACUCGACUCCAC